GUUGAAUGGAACAUUCCAUCUUUCACCUCAUGAAACAUUCUUAUCAAUGCACUCAUAAACAGUAAUUAGAUGUAUAUUUAGAGUGCAUGUUCAUGUUUU